UAGCCCUACGGGAGGCAGCAGUGAGGAAUAUUGGUCAAUGGGCGAGAGCCUGAACCAGCCAAGUCGCGUGAGGGAAGACGGUCCUAUGGAUUGUAAACCUCUUUUGCCGGGGAGCAAAAAGCGGUACGUGUACCGCAUCGAGAGUUCCCGGAGAAAAAGCAUCGGCUAACCCCGUGCCAGCAGCCGCGGGAAUACGGAGGAUGCGAGCGUUAUCCGGAUUUAUUGGGUUUAAAGGGUGCGCAGGCGGCGAGUUAAGUCAGCGGUAAAAUUUCGGGGCUCAACCCCGACGAGCCGUUGAAACGUGG
rnacentral:rRNA from 1 species